GGAAACUUGAGGGGAUUUGGGGUGAUUUGGAGGGGUUGGGGGUCUUAGGGUUCCCAAGUGUAUUUUUUGGGGUCCCCGGGGUGUUUUUGGGGCUCCCAGGUGUAUUUAAGGGUUCCCGGGGUGUUUUUGGGGUUCCCAGGUGUAUUUAAGGGUUCCUGCGGUGUUUUUGGGGCUCCCAGAUGUAUUUAACGGUUCCCGGGGUGUUUUUGGGGUUCCCAUGGUUAUUUUAGGGUUCCUCAGGUGUAUUUUAGGGUCCCCGGGUGUUUUUGGGGUUCCCAGGGUUAUUUUAGGGUUCCUCAGGUGUAUUUUAGGGUCCCUGGGCUGUUUUUGGGGUCCCCGGGGUGUUUUUGGGGUUCCCAGGCGUAUUUAAGUGUUCCCGGACUGUUUUUGGCAUUCCCAGGUGUAAUUCUGGGGUCCUCGGGUGUAUUUAAGGGUUCCCAGGUGCAUUUUAGGGUUCCCAGGGUUAUUUUAGGUUCCUCAGGGUG